ensembl:lncRNA
CUGGUUGGUUAAGAGAAUGGUGACGCUGUUAAUAGAAAUAAAGAGAAAAGGGGAGAAAUAUGAUGACCUUGCUUCUGUGAAGGACAGGCAAUCACUGAUCUGCUUUCUGUCACUUAUGCACUGAUUUGUGUUUUCCAGAACAUCAUAUAAAUGGAAUUAAAGGAAAAUGUUGGCAUAGGAAUUUCUACCACUCGCUCACCACCUCCGGCCCCAGAAACAAGUGUCUGCUCAUAAAAUUACCUUCCCAAGAGCCGAGGAUUCCAGGUGAGGGAUGACGGAACCUGAGUGAAGCACAGAAAUAAGAAAGGACACAUUGAGGAGGGCAGGAAAGACGAAUUAGCACUAACCCCACGGCCCCUCGUCAAGCCCACGGAGCCCACUGGGGCGGGAGAGAACGUGAGAGUAAGAGACCCCCGCACACCAGGCUGGCUCCCACAGCUCCUGCGGGCUCCAGGCACCCAGCCCGUCUACACCCUGGUCCGUGCCUACUGCGGCGACUCAGGCAGCUCGCAGGGUCCCGGGCAGGGCUCGUGGGGGCUCUUGGAAAACCAGGUCCACUUCUCACCUUGGCACCUGUUGGCUCCAGAAGCCCGAGAAGCUCCCAUGACACCAGGGCCCCAGUCGGUUCUCCUGAAUCAAGAAACUGGCUCACCCCAGCGUCUCCCUGCUCCAGGACCUCCCCACCCCGCCCUCUCCACCCCUCC